rnacentral:sRNA from 1 species
UUAAGAAAAGAAAGAAAGAAAAA